rnacentral:lncRNA from 1 species
UUCCAGUUUAUUGUUGGACAUUGUUUCACACAUACAUCAAACAACAACUUCAUAGACAGAAAGAAAAGGGAAAAAAAUCUUUUUAUCUUUGGCCUUUUUAACCAUCUCAUACAAACCAACUACUUAAAGUACAGCUAGGUACAUACACAAAAGUUACUGGAAUGCUCGGAAUAAGAUUGUGUUUUUGUUGUUGUUUUUGCUUUUUUUAACAAGGUUUUUUUUUUUUUUCUCCUUUGAGAUUAUAAUGAACAUGGU